rnacentral:rRNA from 1 species
AACGAACGCUGGCGGCGCGUCUUAAGCAUGCACCCGAACGGCAAGAGAGGAGCUUGCUUCUCUCCUAGAGUGGCGGACUGGUGAGGAACACGUGGGUAAUCUACCCUUAAGAUGGGGAUAGCUGCUAGCAAUAGCAGAUAAUACCGAAUACACUCGAUAUUUCAUAAGAGAUUUUGAGGAAAGGAAGCUACGGCUUCGCUUAAGGAUGAGCUUGCGUCCCAUUAGCUUGUUGGUGAGGUAACGGCCCACCAAGGCGACGAUGGGUAUCCGGCCUGAGAGGGUGAUCGGACACAUUGGGACUGAGAUACGGCCCAUCCUCCUACGGGAGGCAGCAGCUAAGACUCUUCCGCAAUGGACGGAAGUCUGACGGAGCGACGCCGCGUGGAUGAAGAAGGCUGAAAAGUUGUAAAAUCCUUUUGUUGAUGAAGAAUAAGGAGAAGAGGGAAUGCUUCUCUGAUGACGGUAAUCGACGAAUAAGCCCCGGCUAAUUACGUGCCAGCAGCCGCGGUAACACGUAAGGGGCGAGCGUUGUUCGGAAUUAUUGGGCGUAAAGGGCAUGUAGGCGGUUAUGUAAGCCUGAUGUGAAAUCCUGGGGCUUAACCCCAGAAUAGCAUUGGGUACUGUAUAACUUGAAUUACGGAAGGGAAACUGGAAUUCCAAGUGUAGGGGUGGAAUCUGUAGAUAUUUGGAAGAACACCGGUGGCGAAGGCGGGUUUCUGGCCGAUAAUUGACGCUGAGAUGCGAAAGUGUGGGGAUCGAACAGGAUUAGAUACCCUGGUAGUCCACACCGUAAACGAUGUACACUAGGUGUCGGGGCAAGAGCUUCGGUGCCGUAAGCAAACGCAUUAAGUGUACCGCCUGGGAAGUAUGCCCGCAAGGGUGAAACUCAAAGGAAUUGACGGGGGCCCACACAAGCGGUGGAGCAUGUGGUUUAGUUCGAUGAUACGCGAGAAACCUUACCUGGGUUUGACAUCAAGAGCAAUGACAUAGAGAUAUGGCAG